GUAAUACAUAUGCAACCUGCCCGUAGCUGGAGAAUAGCUUCCUGAAACGGAAAUUAAUACUCCAUAAUAUUCUAGUAUCGCAUGUUAUUAGAAUUAAAGCUUCGGUGGCUACGGAUGGGCAUAUGUCCCAUUAGCUUGUUGGUGAGGUAACUGCUCACCAAGGCUACGAUGGGUAGGGGGUCUGAGAGGAUGAUCCCCCACACUGGUACUGAGACACGGACCAGACUCCUACGGGAGGCAGCAGUGAGGAAUAUUGGUCAAUGGGCGAAAGCCUGAACCAGCCAUGCCGCGUGCAGGAUGACAGUCCUACGGAUUGUAAACUGCUUUUCUGCAAGAAGAAAUGUUCCGACGUGUCGGGAUUUGACGGUAUUGCAGGAAUAAGCAUCGGCUAACUCCGUGCCAGCAGCCGCGGUAAUACGGAGGAUGCAAGCGUUAUCCGGAUUCAUUGGGUUUAAAGGGUGCGUAGGCGGAUUAGAUAGUCAAAGGUGAAAGCCUGCAGCUUAACUGUAGAAGUGCCUUUGAUACUGCUAAUCUUGAGUACAGUUGAGGCGAGUGGAAUGUGUAGUGUAGCGGUGAAAUGCAUAGAUACUACACAGAACACCAAUUGCGAAGGCAGCUCGCUAAGCUGUUACUGACGCUCAGGCACGAAAGCGUGGGGAGCGAACAGGAUUAGAUACCCUGGUAGUCCACGCUGUAAACUAUGAUCACUAGCUGUUGGCGAUAAAUUGUCAGUGGCUCAGCGAAAGCGUUAAGUGAUCCACCUGGGGAGUACGAUCGCAAGGUUGAAACUCAAAGGAAUUGACGGGGGCCCGCACAAGCGGUGGAACAUGUGGUUUAAUUCGAUGAUACGCGAGGAACCUUACCUGGGCUUAAAUGUAGCGCGACGUCUCGAGAAAUCGGGAUUCCCUUCGGGGCGAAGUACAAGGUGUUGCAUGGUGGUCGUCAGCUCGUGCCGUGAGGUAUCGGGUUAAGUCCCACUCCGAGCGCAAC
rnacentral:rRNA from 1 species